rnacentral:rRNA from 1 species
CGUAGGGCGCAAGCGUUGUCCGGAAUUAUUGGGCGUAAAGAGCUCGUAGGCGGUUUGUCGCGUCUGCCGUGAAAACCCGAGGCUUAACCUCGUGGCUUGCGGUGGAUACGGGCAGACUAGAGGUAGGUAGGGGAGAAUGGAAUUCCCGGUGUAGCGGUGAAAUGCGCAGAUAUCGGGAGGAACACCGGUGGCGAAGGCGGUUCUCUGGGCCUUACCUGACGCUGAGGAGCGAAAGCGUGGGGAGCGAACAGGAUUAGAUACCCUGGUAGUCCACGCCGUAAACGUUGGGCGCUAGGUGUGGGGUCUUUCCACGGAUUCCGUGCCGUAGCUAACGCAUUAAGCGCCCCGCCUGGGGAGUACGGCCGCAAGGCUA